AGAGGUAUCGUCCAAUGGUAGGACUGCGGCUUCCAAACCCGCCAAUCAGGGUUCAAAUCCUUGUGCCUCUGCCA
rnacentral:tRNA from 1 species